AUGACUACACUUUCAGGGAUGAUUUCUAUAGUUCCUUACUAGAGAAGUUUCUUUGAUCACGUAGAAUACCAGAAACCAUGAGGAGACACAGUGUUCUCUCCUGACAUGAAGCCGGUUCUUGGAGUUGCUUUAUUGCAACUGCCACUUGCCAUUGAUGAUUAUUCUUGCUCUCAGGAGAGUAAGAGGGAAAGAGCACAGUCUAAGUGGG
rnacentral:snoRNA from 1 species